rnacentral:rRNA from 1 species
CACGUAGGGGACGAGCGUUGUCCGGAUUCAUUGGGCGUAAAGCGCGCGUAGGCGGCUCGGAAAGUCGGUCGUGAAAACCCGGGGCUCAACCCCGGGAGGCCGGUCGAUACUGCUGUGGCUAGGGUCCGGUAGAGGAGAGUGGAAUUCCCGGUGUAGCGGUGGAAUGCGCAGAUAUCGGGAGGAACACCAGUAGCGAAGGCGGCUCUCUGGGCCGGUACCGACGCUGAGGAGCGAAAGCUAGGGGAGCAAACAGG